rnacentral:rRNA from 1 species
ACUUACUUGAUUAGACCAUAUUUGAUGACGAAUCAUUUUUUGUAUCAUCUCUGGCAUCCGCCGGAGUUGUGGUGUGAAGCACACAGUCAGGUAGGGAGUUUGGCUGGGGCGGCACAUCUGUUAUACGACAACGCAGGUGUUCAAAGACGCACUCACUGAGAACAGAAAGCUCAUGUGGACCAGAAGGGGACAAGUGUGUUUGAUUUUACUUUACAGUGUGAAUACAAACUGUGAAAGCAAGGCCUACCGAUCCUUGAUGCUUGAGAUGGAUUCAAUUAGAGGUGUCAGAAAAGUUA